AGAAGCACAUGAUGACUUAUUACCGCCCCAGUCUGAACAUUCAUGACUGAUUGGUUUACAACCCUGAUUCG